ACAAAAACCAAACUCUAUAAGUCACUUAUAAUUCCCGUGCUGCUAUAACGCUCCCUCCCGCCGGGGAAGCAGAGGAAGAGGAAGACCUCCACUCCGUUAGAAGGACUAAGUGGAGAAGGAUCUGGCUUCGCUUGGAAUAUCCAAUUGGCGCCACGUAGCGAAAAGAAGAAACGACUGGCGCGCUGUUGCUAACUCGGCUAUAAUCGCGUAAGCGGUGUCUACGCCAAUUAAGAAGAAGAAGAUAGAAGUCCAAAACUAUUUGAAAAACCUAACAAGUGUUAAAAAUUAAGUUCAACAGAGGAGAGAGUUGUAUAGUUAAAAAUCUAAGAGGCUAAUUGAAAAGUUUGUGCUUGAUUAAAGAUCUACAAGUAGAACUGAAAAGUGAGUAACUAAGGCAAACGAAACUCACCUAUUCUUUGGAUAAUCAGCCGGACGGUUUGGAACAAAAUAAGAUUCAUGCUUCAACGACUAACUUAGAACUCUUAAUUUUCUUCACAGGAAUAAUUUGAAAUGUACUUAUAAGGGUUUCGUAAUAAAUUCAUCCAUAAGUGGCUCACACUGAUCAAGUAGAGAGCUUUAUAAGUGUUAGUUGUUAUUUGUCUUUGGUUUCCAUUUCCUUUCCUAAUCUCAAACAAGAAUUUAGUAUAGAGUAGUGAUCAGUAUUGAGUUCCCAUAUCCACAUAUCUCCUAUCACGAAAAAUCUGCUACAAUCUUCUUUAGCAGAUGCCAAUAAGUUUUGGGGAGGUAUUUGAUUACGAAGGUUCCUGUCUACCAGAAAGAAUAGUGUUGUUGAACAGCAUUACUCAUUAGCUUACUAGACAAGGUUCUUUGGAGCUGCAGUAUUUUGCACGAUAGGAUUAGCAAAUUUAUCUACUUUCUGAUUGAUAGCUAAAUUCGCAAGCACAACCAUUUAGUCUAGGUUUAGUUUCCAAUUUGCCUUGCAGCUCAAUGGUGGAUAGUUUUACCUAUCAGAUUCAGAUUUAUUCCCAAUCGCAAGGCAGCUAUAAAUUACAAUAGUUUUAUACACAUACAUAGGUUAAUUUUUGUUACUUUUUUGCUGUUCUUCAAGAGCCUGUUAGAGCUCUUUCUAACAGUUCAAAUCCAUUCAAAUUGAGGCCUAUUUGUGAUAACUGUAAUUAAUACUAAACGAAAAAGUUAAUUGUAUUAAAUUUAAGCAACAAAAAAAUUAUAAACUAUACCUACAUUAUUAUAUUUUUAAAAUACCAUAUUUUCAAGAAUUCUACUUCAAGUUCCAAUUCUGCUUGUUUCCAGUGUUUACUAGUUUAAUAUAUAGUUAUUUUUCUCCGGUAAUUCAAAUAAAAUUCAAUUACCAAUCGAGUUGAUAAGCAUCAAUGAAUUUACCUUCCAUCGGACUAUACUUAUCUUAAUAUUAAUAUCUACUUUCUACAUCAGUACAACGGGAACUCAUCUCAGUAAUUUCCCAUGAUUGCUUUGAGCAAAGAAGGAAAUCAUUUCCAAGUAAGCCAGACAACGACUGGCGGCUUAAAUGCGAGUACUAAUAUACACAGACACAGCUGUUGUUGUAUUUGUUUCCUUACAACCGCCUGAUAAAGAUAUUAAAUGGGUUUCUUUACUUUGCUGCAGGCGUACAUAAAUUUUAUAUUGAAAACUAAUCACUACUUUUCUGACAAUUUCUGACAACAAAAGAAAACUAAUAGGAGUCGUAAAAAAUAUAGGAAUAAAGGAGAUGGUACACGCGUAUAUAUGUUUAUGUAAAGGACUUUAUUUAUGUUUUUUUCGAGCGGUCGACAAUAAUUGAUUUACUACUAUAUUUUUGGUUUUGUAAACAUAGGAAUGCAUACUUGUGUUUUACCAUAAAAUCAUAAAAUUCCUUUGUUAGAGGGUUAAUUAAACUUUAACUCAGUAUACUUAAUGCAGCUUUAUAGACCGGAAUAAAAUUGUUAUGAAAUAUUAUUUAAGUAAUUUAUAUUUUUAAUUUAAUUUUUUAUUUUACCAAGCAGAGAAACAUUCAUUGUUUGGAUUUCAUUGCAAUUUUUUGCAUUUGAACGCGAUCUUAUAGAAAAUCUGAAACACUAAAUGUAAAUUGAGCUGCUAAUGAUACUGUAUGGCAAAAGGUAUUAUAUAUAAAAUAAUAUUCCAACAAUAGAAAAUUUAAACUUAAUAUUUAUUAGCAUUCUAAAGAAGCUCCUUUGGCAUUUAUUUAGCUACGGCUACGUCUUAGAUGAGUUCAAUUUUCGAUGCCUCGUUCGAGCAUUUCGACUGGUAACUGGUGAAUGACACGCGAGUUACAUAUAUCGUUCCACAAACAACCAUAUGUAAUGAAAACUCCAACGUAGACGAAAUCAUGAGAAAAUAUUUAAAUCAACCCAACAACAUUACUGUGUAAAACACUUAUUUAUUUGUUGGUUUGAUUUAAAUUGACACUCACAUAAAUAUGUAUAACGAAAAUGCAAGUAUCGUUGCUUCAUAAAAAUUAAACAACGAUACUUGUAAUGUAAACAAUUUGUAUUUAAACGUUGUGGCUUAAAUUUCAUGUCACCGAACUUAAAUUUAUGAAUACUACAUGAAACGUUAUUACUUUUACUUUCAUAAGCAAAAGUCAAAGUAAUAUCCAAUUACGUAGGAAUAUUUGUAUGUCCACUUAAAAAAAGUACUUAUGCCACAUAAAUGUCAAUGCACCGAUUUUGAUUUUGUUAAUAUUUGCUUAUUUUGAACAAUAUUGAAGGUUUCAGUUUAGGAACGAAACUAUUAUAAAAUUAGUCUUAAGAUUUAUUUGAAUAAAGGAACAGCUUAAGCUUGUUUUUAAUUAAA